rnacentral:lncRNA from 10 species
GGCUUUUCCACCUGGACAAUCCCUCCCUCCCCAGGUGGAAGGUGAGGGGGUUCUGCUUCUCCCCGGGCAGAAGCAGAACCACAGCCCCUUUGUCCCCUUUGCCAGAGGCUUCAAGGGGCAGCGUCCCCCAGCGCCCCCCGAGCAAGCUCCCCAUCUGACAAGGGAGGCCCUAGCUCAUCCCAGAAGCAUCAGAGUCAUCCUUCACACUCACCACCAUGCUGAGGACCCAGAGGGGCUCAUGCCUCCAGUGUCAGACAGGAUUGAGAUCCAGGCUGUCUGGCUCCGGGGUCUUAGCCCUGACACUCGACUUCAGAGGGAGUUCUUGCCUGGGAGUGCCUUCAAAGCACAGUCCCUGGACACUUUCCCCUGCGACAUUUAGUCCUUUAAGGAGGCUGUAAGCACGUUGACCUGCCCCAGAGCCAGUCGUGCCCUCACGUCCCUCAGGACGGCCCACCAUGGCCAAGCACAGGCCAGAGAACAGCCUUGUUGUUGGCGUCAGGACUGUUGGCAUCAGGGUCCUGCUUGUCAGGUUAGGAACGUGGUUCCUUUACCUGCACCUCCAGGUGAUGCUGUCUCCAUCCUUAGAACCUGAAGGCCUAGGUCCCUAAAAGUAGCAGCAGCAGCAGUAGUAGUAGCAGUAAUAGUAGGAGAAGGAGGAGCUGAAGACCUCACAAUAAUCAUUGCCCAACCGCGUGAACCAGCCCAUCUUAAGCAUGGAACACACACUGUCGAAUUCUCACACCUCCUUUUGGAGCGGGUUCUCUCAAUUAUCCCAUUUACAGACAAAGAAUCUGAGACUCCAAGGGGCUAAAUGAUUUGCUCAAAGUCAGGGUAAGUGUGAGAACUGGAGCCGAAACCCAGCCUGCUGGACCUGAGCCCCUGACUCUCAACCUUAAGCCACGCUGUCUCCCAUGGAUCCCUCCAGGGCCAGGCAGUUGGUGCUCAAUAAUUGCAUACUGCGUGGAGGUGAGCUGGGCUCUGGGUGUGGCCAGGUGGUGUCCCUGGAGGGCUCAGCACACCUUUCUCAGGUAGGUGGUAUUAGGCAGUGGGCUCAUGUGGUCCUGAUUCAGAGGCGGAGAAUGGGAGUGUUUCAGGGAUGCAGGUAUGAGCCUGGUCCUAGCACGCAUCUCUAGGUGGGGACAGACUCCUCUCAGCCACCCCAUUGCCCAGUGAUAGUUCCUUUGCACUGAUGCUGUCACAUCCUUGUCAUUCUGGGGGAUUAAACUCUGCCCUCUGGAUGUGUUCAUGGGCAGCUCAGUAAUACAAAGAAGUCAUUCAUAAGUUUACUUUGCUUUCGACUGCCCUUUCAUGGUAACGUUGGUUCAAGGGAAUCCUGUGAUUCCCCAAAUGUGGGGAGCAAAUCGAGUCACCAUGAGUCACCUCCCCAGGCUGAUGUCUUCUCUGGCACAUGUGGCCACGGGGGAGCCAGGAUGGGUCUCCUUCCUCACUCCAUCUGCUCGCUGGGUCUUGGUCUCAGGUGCCUCUUCCCUUCACUGCCUGUCUUUUAUUCCUCUGUCUACCCUCUCCUCAUACAGAAAUUGGGAUUUCUCAUACAGAGAAAUGGAGUGAUUGCUCCUGAUUGCACAGCCGGGAGGGCUGUACACUGGAGCCCCUCCUGCUGCAAUUAACUUAUUUUCCACCCCUGCGGUGUGUGGUUCCUGGAGCAACGCCUGCUACCUGCUUCUCUGCCCCAUCCUCUGUGAGGAAGGGUCCAUGCUGUUCCUUUUUCUGUCUCAAAAAUGUGCUCAUGUGCCCCAAGUUGUGUGAACCACCGACUCUGUGCUCCUUCCAGGCCCUGACCAGUGUGUUUGAGCAUUAAAGCUCGCAGGUACAUCAAAGGUGCUCAGUAAAUGCUGGAUAAAUCAAUCCAUGCUUUCCUGGGCUCUCCUGGUGGGAUGCAUUCUUUUAGCUAAGCGUCCCUGCCAGGGGAGUGGUUGGUUUCCAUGAGGCCAGAGGGGGAAAAGCUGGUUGACCCCUAUCCUGGGCAUUCAGAGUCAUUUCCCGCUCCUUUCUGUGGCUGGAACCAGAAGAAUAUAUCUCAGGUCUAAUAGGGUAUGGACUGCAUAAAGCCUGGGAUUUUUGUGCAUUCUGUUCAUGACAAUGUCUCUAGCCUGUUGAACAGCCCAUAGUAGGCACUCAGCAAACCAAUAGGAACUGAGGGGGUCAAGGAAAUGCCCUGUGAUCCCCCUGAAUCCAACCCCUCUGUCUUUGCCCACCUUUCCUCCGUUAAAACACAGCCUAUAUCAAUGAGGGCCUGGGAGAAAACUGGGGUGGGGGAGGACUGUGCCUCUCUUGACCUUCAUUUACAAAAAAUAAGUUGGCUCCUAGACCCGUGUUGGAGCCACACUGCCCGGGACAGCCCUGAAGCAGCCACGUCCCCACCUUUCAGGAGUCGGCCAAGAGCACGGUGGCUGCAGAAGGCCCUGGCUGAUGGAGAUAACAUUUGACAAACAGGUGCUUUUCCAAUUAUGGAUAACAACAGAAAAGCAGUCAUUGGUUUCUAAAAGGUCAUCAAGAUAUAAAGCCCGUUUGGGAAGGGAAUGACUUACGCAGUGGGCUUGUAUAAAUCUGGAGAAGUUUUAUGCACAAGUCGGACAAGAAAUGUGUUCUACAUACGGCUCGGGAGCCAGCAAGUGCGUAUGAAGCCCCUUCACAUGGCUAGUGGCAUCCUAAGGACCCGGCGACAAUUAGUCAUGGCGUCAUCGAACACCAGGCUGGAGGAGGUCUUGGAUGCCACAGCUCCUUUUGAAUUUCAAAGACGUUCAAAUCCCCAUCUGGCUGUUACACUUUUAGGCUAUUGAGAGUGAAAACAAGCACUGACAUGAACACCCAACCAGCUGCCGGUGACAUCGUCCCCUUCUGAGAUCUGAGGACAUGGAUACCCAACCACCUGCCGGUGACAUCGUCUCCUUCUGAGAUCUGAGGACAUGAACACCCAACCACCUGCCGGUGAUAUCGUCCCCUUCUGAGAUCUGAGGACGUGGAUAUCCAACCACCUGCCGGUGACAUUGUCUCCUUCUGAGAUCUGAGGACAUGGACACCAAACCACCUGCCGGUGACAUUGUCUCCUUCUGAGAUCUGAGGACAUGAACACCAAACCACCUGCCAGUGACAUCGUCCCCUUCUGAGAUCUGAGGACAUGGAUACCCAACCACCUGCCGGUGACAUCGUCUCCUUCUGAGAUCUGAGGACAUGGACACCCAACCACCUGCCGGUGACAUCGUCUCCUUCUGAGAUCUGAGGACAUGAACACCCAACCACCUGCCGGUGAUAUCGUCCCCUUCUGAGAUCUGAGGACGUGGAUAUCCAACCACCUGCCGGUGACAUUGUCUCCUUCUGAGAUCUGAGGACAUGGACACCAAACCACCUGCCGGUGACAUUGUCUCCUUCUGAGAUCUGAGGACAUGAACACCAAACCACCUGCCAGUGACAUCGUCCCCUUCUGAGAUCUGAGGACAUGGAUACCCAACCACCUGCCGGUGACAUCAUCUUCUUCUGAGAUCUGAGGACAUGGACACCCAACCACCUGCCGGUGACAUCGUCUCCUUCUGAGAUCUGAGGACAUGGACACCAAACCACCUGCCGGUGACAUCGUCUCCUUCUGAGAUCUGAGGACAUGAACACCCAACCACCUGCCGGUGAUAUCGUCCCCUUCUGAGAUCUGAGGACGUGGAUAUCCAACCACCUGCCGGUGACAUUGUCUCCUUCUGAGAUCUGAGGACAUGGACACCAAACCACCUGCUGGUGACAUUGUCUCCUUCUGAGAUCUGAGGACAUGAACACCAAACCACCUGCCAGUGACAUCGUCCCCUUCUGAGAUCUGAGGACAUGGAUACCCAACCACCUGCCGGUGACAUCAUCUUCUUCUGAGAUCUGAGGACAUGGACACCCAACCACCUGCCGGUGACAUCGUCUCCUUCUGAGAUCUGAGGACAUGGACACCAAACCACCUGCCGGUGACAUCGUCUCCUUCUGAGAUCUGAGGACAUGAACACCCAACCACCUGCCGGUGACAUCGUCCCCUUCUGAGAUCUGAGGACAUUGAUACCCAGCCACCUGCCGGUGACAUCGUCUCCUUCUGAGAUCUGAGGAUAUGGACACCAAACCACCUGCCGGUGACAUCGUCUCCUUCUGAGAUCUGAGGACAUGAACACCCAACCACCUGCCGGUGACAUCGUCCCCUUCUGAGAUCUGAGGACAUGGAUACCCAACCACCUGCCGGUGACAUCGUCUCCUUCUGAGAUCUGAGGACAUGGACACCCAACCUGCUGCUGGUGACAUCGUUCCCUUCUGAGAUCUGAGGACAUGGACACCAAACCACCUGCCAGUGACAUCGUCUCCUUCUGAGAUCUGAGGACAUGGACACCAAACCUGCUGCCGGUGACAUCGUCCCCUUCUGAGAUCUGAGGACAUGGACACCCAACCACCUGCCGGUGACAUCGUCUCCUUCUGAGGUCUGAGGACAGACACUCACAUGGACACCUAAACACCUGCCGAUGAUAUUGUCUCCUUCUGAAAUCUGAGGACAUGGACACCCAACCAGCUGCUGGUGACAUCAUCUCCUUCUGAGAUCUGAGGACAGACACUCACAUAGACGCCCAAUCAGCUGCUGGUGACAUUGUCUCCUUCUGAAAUCUGAGGGUUGGAACACAUUGGCCUGGCUCAGUGUUUCUCCAUGUGGUUUUGAGACCACCUGAGUUGGAACCGAUAUGGGUUCCCAGCCUCACGCCUGGAGAGCUGGAUUUUGCGAGUGUGAGGUUAGGUCCAGCAUCUGCAUGUGUAACGAGCUCCCAGGUGUUUCGUAGAUGCAUUAGGGCUUGAGAAGCUCCUUUCUAGCACCAUCUUCCUUUUUGCGCAUGAGGGAGUUCAGGUCCAGAGAAAUAAAGCAGCAAGGUUAGUGGC